GUAACAAGGUUUCCGUACGUGAACCUGCGGAAGGAUCAUUA
rnacentral:rRNA from 1 species